UUUUUUUUUAUUUUUAUUUUAUAUAUUAAAAAGUAUUAAAGUUACAUUUUUCUAGAAACUCAAUUAUUUAAAAAAACAAAUGUUGAAACUCAAUAUUUGAAUAUGGAAUAUAAUUAAUUUCAGGAUUAAAAAUAUCCUUAUUUGCUUUUCCAUCAUCAAAUAUAAAUCAAUUUGUUUUCAUUGGAAUCUUUCACUUGGCUAAGCGCUUCCAUCAUCAACCAUCCUGAUGAGGUCCACCAUAUCACAUCUCCUUUCUCCAACGCCACUGCCUCCUCCCCUUAACUUCCGCCGGAAAACUCCAACUUCCCUGCUGAACAACUCGCGAAGCUUUUCCAGUAGAAGAAGAACAUGGAUCUCACAAACCGAAAUCAAAGUCUCGUCCUCGUCAUCAUCAUCAUCAUCAGAUAAUCAGACCGUCACCUUUGCACCAUCACCAACAAGGAAAGAUGAUGAUGAUACCGAUUUACCACAGUCUGCGUCGGAGAUAGUGAGGAGCUUCUAUAAAGGAAUCAACGACCGCGAUCUUGCCGCCGUGGAGAAGCUCAUUGCGGAGAAUUGUGUGUACGACGACCUUAUCUUUCCACGGCCCUUCAUUGGUCGGAAGGAUAUUUUAGAGUUCUUUAAGAAGUUCAAUGAUUCUAUCAGCAAGGACCUCCGAUUUGUUAUUGAUGAUAUUUCUGCUGAGGAUUCCUUAGCAGUUGGAGUUACAUGGCAUUUAGACUGGAAGGGCAAGCCAUUCCCAUUUAGCAAAGGAUGCAGCUUUUAUCGGCUAGAGGUCAAGAACAGCAGAAGACAAAUAAUUUACGGUCGGGAUAGUGUUGAGCCCGCAAUCAAGCCUGGAGAGGCAGCUCUGGUUGCCAUCCAGGGUGUAGUUUGGCUGCUGCAACGCUUUCCUCAGCUGGCAGAUCAGCUAUGAUGAAAAGCUAUAUGCCAUUAACAUUCAUAAUGGUAGUGUUCAUGGACUCAUCUGCACAGUACAACAUCAACAAACACCUCUUCAAUCAUCACAUGCAAUAUUUCCUCUCCUAUGUAUAUGGUAUACAUAAAAAUAAAACUUGUACAUUUGCGUAUUUUAAUUAAUUUGUUCUUCAGCCAAGGCUACUUUUCCAAACAUGAUUUGUUAAUUAUAGCAGUUGUAUUUUCAUUUAGCAUGUUGUAUAUUCAAAGUAUGGAUAAAGAUACAUAGCCAACCCCUACUAGUUUGGGAUUAAGAUUGUAACAUUCUCAACUAAUGCUCCAAUUAUUUCCUUGAGAAUGAUAAUAAAAGGGCAUAGCUAGAAAAUAUUGGAAUCUGCAUUUCAUCCCCAUUGAAUUGGGGGAAAAAAAAAAAACUCAUAUAUAUGUCAAUCCUCAAAGAUUAUCAAGCUUCAUCAAUUGCAGAAAAGGAACGUACGCAAAAAAUACGAUACCCUUGCCAGGGUAUAUCUUUGCCCCACUAAAGUGACAGUUCUCCUGAAAUUCCCAAUUUCAGCAAUUAUUUCAAGAAUCACAUUGUAAAUGCAUUUUUUUCAUAGGAGACAUCAAAAUGACAACCAAAAAUUACAUAUAUUCUACGAUGCUAUUUCAUAAACUAACAGUAACAUAUUCGAGUCUUUCAAUUUAUUUAGCCUCAUCUAAAUCAAAACAAUCAAAACAAGAAGAAAAACAAAGCACAGUCGCCCAAGUUGCGAAGACUUCCAAGUAUCACAUAUAACACAAAAAUGAAAUAAAAUAAAUAAAAAAUUAAAUAAAAUUAAAUAAAAAUAUUUUAAUUCAAUUUGAUUCCAUCUAAUUGAUUUGAGCUUUAAAUGGGCUUCUCUUUUGGAUCUGAUUUCAUUGAACUUGAUUUUUAUUUUUUUAUCUGAUUUUUACUCUAUUUUUAGAUUUAAUUUCACAUUAAUUAAUAAAAUUAAACAUAUAAUACACAAAAUCCCUAUAAAAAUAAAAUAAUUUAAAAAAGAAAAUUCAUCAAAAAGCAAAUACAAAAGUCCUUAACAAUCCAAAAACAUAGCUGAAGACAACAAUGCUCUCUUCAGGUUUAGUGGUUUGCCUCUGCUAAGAUGCAUGAAUUAUUUACAUUCCUCGUAUAAGCUUACACCGCUAACCUACCACUUUGUCAGUGGGUUAAUGUGAUAUAUAAACAAGAAACAUGCUAAUAAAAUUACAGUCUAAAUAGGGCAUCAGGGUGGGUGAGUAGCAAAAAAAUAAUAAUAAAUAAAUAAAUAAAAGUAAAUGGAGAAUUAUUAAAAAAAAAAAUUGUAAAUGAGGAAACACAACGUAGCAGUGGCACACAGCAAUUAAGAGUGGGCAUGGUCGGCUUUGGCUUCAGACGAGACCAGAAGUUAGUAGCGAGCGGACGACGCCAAGAAUUGUGGUUUACCGUUCGGUUCUCCCUCCUCCCUCUUCCCUUCCUGUGUGUGUCUUCUGGCGAUUUUCUCGCGUCUGCUCCGCCCACCACCCACCAUCCCUUCCUCCCUCCUCCCUCCUCCCUUUUUUUUCCCCGAUUGUGAAAAACUGCAAAAAAAAAAAAAAAUUUUGAUCUUCUAAUCUUUCUCUCUCUCUCAAGCACUGGGUUUUCUGCAGAUCACAUGAACCAGCAACCAAAAAGCUGAUCCCUCUCAUCAUUAAAUGAAUUAAAGUUAUAGGACAUUGGAGGGUGGUGGGGUGAGAUGAGAUCUGAUCCGCCUGAGUCACUGUUUGUCUCUGCCAUUUCACCAAGAUCUCGUUUUCAGUGCAUUGAUACAUUUCUUAUAUCAAUCACCUUCCUUUCCCUAAUCCCGAGACGAUAAGCCCUCUCAGUUUGCUCUCUUACUCUCUGUUUUGUCACGUCUAGCUGAUAGGGGGAUCCGUGGCCAUUUGUUGUUUUCUGGAUCUAUCAGUGAUUCGUCGACAUUUUAUUUGAAUUCAAUCGAGGUUUUUCAAGUUUUCUCCUUUCUUCGCCAUUUUACCUAUCCUGUGGGCCUCUGUAGUUAAAGGAGUAUUUUCCGUCCGUUUCCUCGUCUUGUUUAAAGCCCUUCCUGCAAUUGACAAUCAUUAUCUUGUUGUAGAAGGCCUACAUUUUGUUUUCUUGCGAAGAAACACUCAGCACCCCCUAGCUUUUCUGGAAGUGCAGAAUGAGCUAGAUUUGAAGGUAUUUAGAUGAUCAAGUUAUAAGGAGAAACAAUUUCAGACAAAGAAGUCUUAAAUUCAUUUGGGCUCUCGCGUUUUGCCUGGGGUAGAAUCUGAAGGAGAUUUGCUCCAGGCAGCAAAUACUUGCUAAUGGUUGCUUAAAGUAGGGAAAGAUAUUUGUUUGAUUCUCCAAUGUGGUCGUUGGAGGAUUAUUUAUGACUUCUGGCCAGCC
rnacentral:misc_RNA from 1 species